UGGAAAGUAGGUCCCUGGACAGAGUUCUUUGAUCAUGUUAAGUCUCAUGGGGACAGCUAUUUCUUUGAUUUUCCUCAAAUACUCUGUCAGUGUAGACACACUCUGAAAUGCUUUCCCCUCUGGUCAUAUUUAGAUAUGGUUUUAUUUUUCUCUCUGGACUUUAAACUCCUUAAGAGAAAGACACAUUUUAUCUUUCCAGUCGGUGUUGGAUUGUCCUAUGUUGAAAGUACUUGGUAAGUAGCGUGGUAAGACCUGAACUCUGUGAAUAGGGUGACUCUCUAGAGCUCUAAAUGAGGAUAGUUAUGGCCCAUGGAGUAGAGUUUAGGAUCUAGGUUCUCACGUGGUGACAGAGUGCGCUCACCCAUCAGACUCCAUGUUUUUGUCAUCUGGAAAUUGGAUGCUGAUACUGACCUCGUGGGGGAAGGGGAAGGCAAUGCACCCGGUAGAACUCAUUAUCUGACACGAAACAAGCUUCAGGUGACUAGUGACUUUAAGGCCCUUCCCCCACUUAUCAAACUUGCAAAGCAUUUUCACCUCCCCUCCAAUUCUCCUCAGUUCUAUGGGUAUUAACUUUCAUUCUUCAGAGUUCGAAGUUUUAACUUCUUGGCUUUCAGUGCUAAGUUUAACUCUCUGUGACGUCACAAUGCUAGACUAGGAGAGAACAGUGGAGAUUGCUGCCGUCUCAUGCUGAUGCACUCAUCUAGUGUGACCGUGCCUUGGAGUGCACAGUUUUAGCCCCUUAGGUCAUGUAUGGAACCGUUUGAGCUCAUCAUCCAUUUUCUUGCUGUUGGGGAAUAGAGGGCUGACCACUUGGUAUUUGGUAAGCAAUUGGAAAUCUCUUCUCUGGAGAAGACUAUUUUUCCCACUUUCAGCAUUUCUUCACUCUGACAAGAUUUACCUCAGAAUGCUGAGUGACUUACAUAUGACCUGCCCUUGGAAUAUCCAUGAAUUUCACAUUUAUUUCAUUUCAUAUUUAUUAAGUAAUAUUAAAUAAUCCUUCCAUUUUACUCUC